UACGUAGGGGGCAAGCGUUGUCCGGAAUUAUUGGGCGUAAAGCGCGCGCAGGCGGCCUUGUAAGUCUGUUGUUUCAGGCACAAGCUCAACUUGUGUUCGCAAUGGAAACUGCAAGCUUGAGUGCAGAAGAGGAAAGUGGAAUUCCACGUGUAGCGGUGAAAUGCGUAGAUAUAGGAAGGAACACCAGUGGCGAAGGCGGAUCUCUGGGCCUUACCUGACGCUCAGGUGCGAAAGCUAGGGGAGCGAACAGG
rnacentral:rRNA from 1 species